GACGAAGGAUGCAAGCGUUAUCCGGAUUCAUUGGGUUUAAAGGGAGCGUAGGUUGCCUUAUAAGUCAGUGGUGAAAUCUCUGGGCUUAACCCAGAAAUUGCCAUUGAUACUGUAGGGCUUGAGUAUAGAUGCCGUUGGCGGAAUAUGACAUGUAGUGGUGAAAUACAUAGAGAUGUCAUAGAACACCGAUUGCGAAGGCAGCUAACGAAACUAUAACUGACACUGAGGCUCGAAAGUGUGGGGAUCAAACAGG
rnacentral:rRNA from 1 species